CCCAGCUGUCAACAAUUCGAAGGGGCAGAGGCGGACAGAAUCUUCCAGGCUGCCCAGAGAAGGCUCAGGCAACUGGUACGGCUCCAACCACAAAUACUGACUCUUUUCGAGAGCUCCAGCCUGGAGAAGCCUGGCUUUCCCUCCUCUGCCCAGGGAUGGCCCACAACACCCACCACGGUCCUUUUCAGGAGCCACUAAGGCAAAGUAAAGGGGUCACUUGCACCUGCCCCGAGGUUAUCGUAUACAAUCCAGAGGUCAAGCUACAGACAUCAACUCUCAAAGCUAUCUUGCUACAGAUGGAACAGACCAAAAGUACACCCCCGAGAAACCCCUUCCCCUGGUUUCCAGGAGCGACCGAGGUUUGUUGACUAACGAUUCAUAUUUCAUUGGAGACAAAGGAAGACAGAAAUGCCAACGCUUGGCAGGCAGAUGGAUUCCUGGGAUCCCUUGCCGUCUGAGGAAAUGGAGGGAGCGUCGGCUUUGGGGCCAGAGGACCUGGGUUCGAAGCCGCCGCUGCUGCUCUGGGUGACCUUGGGUAACUGUCCCUUAAUAUCUCUGGGUCUCAGUUUUCCCAUCUGCAGAUUGAAGUGCAACCAGGCACGGUGCUAGGUGGGUCUAAAGACAAAAGCAAGUCCGGGCGCCUGCCCUCAGAGACCUUACUUUCUCCUGGAGGGAAACAAUACUUCCAGGAUAAAAAGUGAUUUUUCUGUCUUCUGUCCACCUACAUCAUUUUGUAGCCCUUACGGCCUUUCACAUUCUGUCUUGGACUGUUUUGAGCGCAGUGUACCAGACUGGAAGCUUCUGGGGGGCAGGUACUGGGUUGGGUCUUUGUGUCUUUCAUUAAAAGCAAGGUCUUGUACUAAAUACUAAAAUACUAGGUACUAAA